rnacentral:tRNA from 1 species
UUACAGGGAUGAGAAUCGAACCCACAGUGUUCCGCUUACCGGGCAGAUGCCAUGUCCACUAGGCUACCUCAUC